rnacentral:rRNA from 1 species
CCUACGGGGGGCAGCAGUGGGGAAUAUUGCACAAUGGGCGCAAGCCUGAUGCAGCAACGCCGCGUGAGGGAUGACGGCCUUCGGGUUGAAACCUCUUUUAGUAGGGAAGCGGUACCUGCAGAAAAAGCACCGGCUAACUACGUGCCAGCAGCCGCGGUAAUACGUAGGGUGCAAGCGUUGUCCGGAAUUAUUGGGCGUAAAGAGCUCGUAGGCGGCUUGUCGCGUCUGCUGUGAAAACCAGAGGCUCAACCUCUGGCCUGCAGUGGGUACGGGCAAGCUAGAGUGCGGUAGGGGAGAUUGGAAUUCCUGGUGUAGCGGUGGAAUGCGCAGAUAUCAGGAGGAACACCGAUGGCGAAGGCAGAUCUCUGGGCCGUACUGACGCUGAGGAGCGAAAGCAUGGGGAGCGAACAGGAUUAGAUACCCUUGUAGUC